CCUGUCGCGGCCUCAGUUUCAAGCGAAGAAGAAAAUGGCAGAAACGUCGUCUUCCGUGGCCGAUACUCCCGCUUCACCGGCGCCGGAGGAAAAAUCCGACGGCAGUGCUCUUAGCAGUACUACCAAAUCAAUAGCGGAGAUAGCGGAGGAUGUUCAACGCACGGUCAUGGAGUCGAGGGACUCCGCCAUUCGAUCUGCUCGCAGUCUCCAGCAGAACUCCUCCACUCAACUCCGCUCUCUUCAGGAUUUCGCAGGACAUGUGAAGUCACAGUACCAUACCUAUGAGGAUGCUUUUAUCAGUAAAGUAAAAGACGAGCUCAAGAAUACGAGGGAACACCCGGGUGCAGCUAUCGGGUUGUCUCUCGCUGCUGGCCUCCUCCUCCUGCGGGGUCCAAGAAAGUUUUUGUUUCGUCAAACGAUUGGCCGAUUACAGAGUGAGGAGGCGCAGUUUAAUAGAGCUGAGAAAACUGUGAAAGAUUUGGACAUCUCUGUUGAUUUGAUGAAGAAUGAGAGCAAGAAACUGCUUGAGAGGACCGCCCUUGCCGAGAAGGACAUGAAACAAGGCCUCACCGAUCUCACGACUGCAGGAAGUCAAAUCCAGCGUCUUGCUAAAUCAGCUUACAAGGUUGAAACCCAAGCUGCAGAGUUGAUGGAUGACUUGCGUGAGAUUCCUGGUAGAGAUGCACUGAAACUACGUGCCGAGGUUGCUUCCAUGUUGUCACAUCUGAAGCGACAGAGACUUGCCCUUGAGAAACGGAUACUGAAGAUCUCUGAGCUAGGAGUUGCUGUUUGAUUGGUAUAACACCUUGGGAUUAUAUUAUCUCAGGGUGGCCGAGACAUUCCUCCUCAACGCCAGUUUUCUCCUUUGCACGGUCUGUUAGAGCCUAGAGAAAUGCGGUGAAAUAGUUGGACAUCACCAUUGAUUUGAUGAAGAACGAUAGGUAGAGCAAGAAUCUGCUCCAGAGGACUGCCAUAGUCGAGAAUGGAUUACCUUUAUCAGAUCCCUGACUGCUACAAGAUCAAGAAGAAAAAUAUCCGGAAAGCAUUGAUUAAAGUCGCCAAACAUUUUGGUGGGAACUCAGUAACUUCAUUUUGGAGGGAGUUGAUGAACAGCCCGCGUGAGAUUCCGGGAAGAGAUGCGUGCUAAAAUCACGAGCUGAGGCAACUUCGGCUAAGCCACGAGAUCCUUCUUAUCUGCUGUCCGGAUUUUCAUUUGUACAUAUAUAUCUCCCGUUUGUUGUUCCUUAUGUUUGGACUAUAUUGAGUUAGAGCUUCAGCUUUCUUUCUCAAUGAAUUGGGCUCAUCAUCUUUCUCCGGUGAAA